GGUUAAGCGACUAAGCGUACACGGUGGAUGCCCUGGCAGUCAGAGGCGAUGAAGGACGUGCUAAUCUGCGAUAAGCGUCGGUAAGGUGAUAUGAACCGUUAUAACCGGCGAUUUCCGAAUGGGGAAACCCAGUGUGAUUCGUCACACUAUCAUUAACUGAAUCCAUAGGUUAAUGAGGCGAACCGGGGGAACUGAAACAUCUAAGUACCCCGAGGAAAAGAAAUCAACCGAGAUUCCCCCAGUAGCGGCGAGCGAACGGGGAGCAGCCCAGAGCCUGAAUCAGUGUGUGUGUUAGUGGAAGCGUCUGGAAAGGCGCGCGAUACAGGGUGACAGCCCCGUACACAAAAAUGCACAUACUGUGAGCUCGAUGAGUAGGGCGGGACACGUGGUAUCCUGUCUGAAUAUGGGGGGACCAUCCUCCAAGGCUAAAUACUCCUGACUGACCGAUAGUGAACCAGUACCGUGAGGGAAAGGCGAAAAGAACCCCGGCGAGGGGAGUGAAAAAGAACCUGAAACCGUGUACGUACAAGCAGUGGGAGCACGCUUAGGCGUGUGACUGCGUACCUUUUGUAUAAUGGGUCAGCGACUUAUAUUCUGUAGCAAGGUUAACCGAAUAGGGGAGCCGAAGGGAAACCGAGUCUUAACUGGGCGUUAAGUUGCAGGGUAUAGACCCGAAACCCGGUGAUCUAGCCAUGGGCAGGUUGAAGGUUGGGUAACACUAACUGGAGGACCGAACCGACUAAUGUUGAAAAAUUAGCGGAUGACUUGUGGCUGGGGGUGAAAGGCCAAUCAAACCGGGAGAUAGCUGGUUCUCCCCGAAAGCUAUUUAGGUAGCGCCUCGUGAAUUCAUCUCCGGGGGUAGAGCACUGUUUCGGCAAGGGGGUCAUCCCGACUUACCAACCCGAUGCAAACUGCGAAUACCGGAGAAUGUUAUCACGGGAGACACACGGCGGGUGCUAACGUCCGUCGUGAAGAGGGAAACAACCCAGACCGCCAGCUAAGGUCCCAAAGUCAUGGUUAAGUGGGAAACGAUGUGGGAAGGCCCAGACAGCCAGGAUGUUGGCUUAGAAGCAGCCAUCAUUUAAAGAAAGCGUAAUAGCUCACUGGUCGAGUCGGCCUGCGCGGAAGAUGUAACGGGGCUAAACCAUGCACCGAAGCUGCGGCAGCGACGCUGAUGCGUUGUUGGGUAGGGGAGCGUUCUGUAAGCCUGUGAAGGUGUGCUGUGAGGCAUGCUGGAGGUAUCAGAAGUGCGAAUGCUGACAUAAGUAACGAUAAAGCGGGUGAAAAGCCCGCUCGCCGGAAGACCAAGGGUUCCUGUCCAACGUUAAUCGGGGCAGGGUGAGUCGACCCCUAAGGCGAGGCCGAAAGGCGUAGUCGAUGGGAAACAGGUUAAUAUUCCUGUACUUGGUGUUACUGCGAAGGGGGGACGGAGAAGGCUAUGUUGGCCGGGCGACGGUUGUCCCGGUUUAAGCGUGUAGGCUGGUUUUCCAGGCAAAUCCGGAAAAUCAAGGCUGAGGCGUGAUGACGAGGCACUACGGUGCUGAAGCAACAAAUGCCCUGCUUCCAGGAAAAGCCUCUAAGCAUCAGGUAACAUCAAAUCGUACCCCAAACCGACACAGGUGGUCAGGUAGAGAAUACCAAGGCGCUUGAGAGAACUCGGGUGAAGGAACUAGGCAAAAUGGUGCCGUAACUUCGGGAGAAGGCACGCUGAUAUGUAGGUGAAGCGACUUGCUCGUGGAGCUGAAAUCAGUCGAAGAUACCAGCUGGCUGCAACUGUUUAUUAAAAACACAGCACUGUGCAAACACGAAAGUGGACGUAUACGGUGUGACGCCUGCCCGGUGCCGGAAGGUUAAUUGAUGGGGUCAGCGCAAGCGAAGCUCUUGAUCGAAGCCCCGGUAAACGGCGGCCGUAACUAUAACGGUCCUAAGGUAGCGAAAUUCCUUGUCGGGUAAGUUCCGACCUGCACGAAUGGCGUAAUGAUGGCCAGGCUGUCUCCACCCGAGACUCAGUGAAAUUGAACUCGCUGUGAAGAUGCAGUGUACCCGCGGCAAGACGGAAAGACCCCGUGAACCUUUACUAUAGCUUGACACUGAACAUUGAGCCUUGAUGUGUAGGAUAGGUGGGAGGCUUUGAAGUGUGGACGCCAGUCUGCAUGGAGCCGGCCUUGAAAUACCACCCUUUAAUGUUUGAUGUUCUAACGUUGACCCGU
rnacentral:rRNA from 1 species